UUUCUCUGAGAGCUGUGGUUUCAAAAAUUCAGCAGUUUCACUCCUGUGAUUUUGCAGUUUGUCUUCUGGAAGGGAUGUGUGGAAUAGAAACAAUGAAGAAGUAAGACCAAAGAAGACAGAAGCCCAGAGGCAAAAAAGACUCCAAACCUGCGUGCAGAGGAGCUUGACAGAGAAGAGGCUGUGCAUGGACAGUGGUACUGAUGACAAAUCCCCUUUGGUCCCUUUGGCUGUUCAGCCAUUAAUCUUUGGGAAAAGUGAGUGGCAGGAGCCUUUGCUGGAAGUGGCUGUGGGGCACAGCAAGCCUUGGCCAGGAGGAGCAGAAGAUAUUUUGCCGACUGAGUCAUGGUAUUAAAUGUGCUUUUUACAGUGAAAUUCAUUGUAAGAGUGAAGCAGGUCACUGGUAUUUAAUCUGAACCAGAGUUGUGCAACUUCAAGUGACUCUGCAGGAGAUGGGUUCCCGUGAUAGGUUCCUCAUCCAGGGCUGUGAAGCUCUUCCAGGCAAAACAUGUCCUUGUGGUUACGCCUUUUCUUUCAUUUCUUCUUGCUUACGUAGAAAACCUGUAUGUGUGACAAUUUGAAAGGCUUUUAAAAUUUCUUAAAUAAAAUUAUUCAUUGACAAGUAAGUGCCUCA
rnacentral:lncRNA from 1 species